GCCAGGCAUGGUGGUGUGCGCCUGUAGUCCCAGCUACUCAGGAGGCUGAGGUGGGAGAAUCGCUUGAGUCCAGGAGUUCUGGGCUGCAGUGUGCUAUGCCAAUCGGGUGUCCGCACUAAGUUCGGCAUCAGUAUGGUGACCUCCCAAGAGCAGGGGACCACCAGGUUGCCUAAGGAGGGGUGAGCUGGCCCAGGUUGGAAAUAAAUGUCAAAAACCCCCCGUGCUGAUUAUAAACAUUUAUUUCAGGAGUCUUGCUAAGUCAGUAAAGUUACCCAGCCUGAGUUUGAACUUUCAAUUUU
rnacentral:SRP_RNA from 1 species